rnacentral:rRNA from 1 species
AGUAACGCGUAAAUAAUCUACCCCUGCAUUUGGGAUAACCCACCGAAAGGUGAGCUAAUACCGGAUACGUUCUUUUGGUCGCGAGUCCAGGAGAAGAAAGGUGGCCUCUGAUAUAAGCUACUGUGCAGGGAGGAGUUUGCGUACCAUUAGCUUGUUGGUAGGGUAAUGGCCUACCAAGGCGACGAUGGUUAGCGGGUCUGAGAGGAUGAUCCGCCACACUGGAACUGGAACACGGACCAG